CCGACCUUAGCUCAGUUGGUAGAGCGGAGGACUGUAGAUCCUUAGGUCGCUGGUUCGACUCCGGCAGGUCGGA
rnacentral:tRNA from 1 species